UAGGGCGGCCACAGCGGCGGGGAACCUCCCGUACCCAUCCCNGAACACGGUUGAUAAGCCCGCCUGCGUAUCGGCGAGUACUGGAGUGAGAGAUCCUCUGGGAAAUUCGAUUCGCCGCCUCCA
rnacentral:rRNA from 1 species